GCCUUCUCCGGAGGCGAUGAAGCCUGAUCCCUUACUCGGGCGCUUGGGACAGGUGGAGCCAGUAGCGCGACCGGCCGGAAGAUUC
ncrna:unclassified sequences c-di-GMP-II-GAG riboswitch